GGGCUGAACCCAAGGCAUAUGGAAGUUCUCAGGCUAGGGGCUGAUUCAGAGCUGUAGCUGCCUGCCUACACCACAGCCACAGCAAUGCUAGAUCUGAGCUGUGUCUUCAACUUACACCACAGCUCACGGACAUACCGGAUCCUUAACCUGCUGAGUGAGGCCAGGGAUCGUACCCAAAUCCUCAUGGAUACUAGUAAGGUUCCUAACCUGCUGAGCCACAUUCCCUUUGUGGCUCAAUGGUGGCGAACCCGACUAGGAUCCAUGAGGAUGUGGGUUUCAUCCCUGGCCUCACUUAGUGGGUUAAGGAUCCGGCGUUGCUGUGAGCUGUGGUACAGGUUGCAGACGCAGCUUGGGAACUAAGAAGGCUUCUGGGAACUAAGAAGAAGGGAACUGCCUUGCUGAAGUUAAGAACCACAUAAUGAAAGUGACAUGCCAAGGCAGAAGGGUUAAUAGUCACUGUUCUCUCCAUCACUAGCCCUGGAUGUGACAGUGCAGCUCCCCCUUUCCCACUGGAAUCUGGCCCCAGACAGAACCCCCUGCAAGGUGGAUGGGGUCCAGACGCUGCCCUCUGAUGGGUGCCAUGCUCACCUUGCACAGCCCUAAAAAAAGGCAAAAAAAAAAAAAAGAAAAAAAGAAAAAUAGAUGUUGUUCUGUUUGAUGUCCUGCACGUCCCCAGAGGGAGGGGCAGAAGGUGGUAAGCUGUUCUGAUGAGUCAGGGGGGCUCACUGUGGCUCCUUGGCUCCAGCCCUGCCAUCCUUCAAGAGAUGGAGAUGAGCAUCUCUCAUUGUCGUCAGAAAGUACAGAGGACACUUUUCUGCAAGAUUCACACUUGCUCUUUGGGGUGCUGGACCCUCUCACCAAAAGCGCUUACUCUGUAUCACAUCUUCCUCUUUUUCCUCCUCCUCCUUUUAGAAACUCUUACCUACCAUGUUGUGCUUGCCCCCCCCCCCCCACAGUGUGUCAUGGAGUGAAGGACACCCUCAGGCCAACAUGGACAUUGGAACAAGCCAAGGGAUUCCGUUUUAAAUAAAUCAAGGUUUAUAUAAACUGGUCCCAAAUCAGCUUCCACCAACCAGCUCCCGUGCUUGCUGGAUUCAUGGCUUGGCUGUCUCUUCCCCAGGGGCUUCCAGACUUCUCUCUCCCUCUGUGUGCCAUUCUGGAAAACCAGUGCGGGCAUGUGGGGGCCUGAGUCAUGCCUCAUGGCUCCCCGGUGUCUGGCAAGUGAGCAAAGGGCUCUGCUUCUCUUGCCCCUCUCCCUACAAGAGCUGGAGGCUUCAGGCUCUCAGGUGCUAGUUUACUCCUUUUUGUAAUUUCCUGAUCAUCAGUGACAGAGAUAAUUUUUAAAACGUAUUUCUGUCUUUCUUUUUCUGGUGAGGAAUUCAUUUAGGCUUCUGGGAACUAAGAAGAAGGGAACUGCCUUGCUGAAGUCAAGAACCACAUAAUGAAAGUGACAUGCCAAGGCAGAAGGGCUAGUAGUCAUCGUCCUUUCCAUCACUAGCCCUGGAUGUGACAGUGCAGCUCUCCCUUUCCCACUGUAACCUGGCCUCAGACAGAGCCCCCUGCAAGGUGGAUGGGGUCCAGAUGCUACCCUUUGAUGGGUGCGAUGCUCACCGGACAGCACCUGGCACUGCGGGUGGCCUUGUGCAUGAGUCACACACGUCAGGACUCCUGAUGUGCGGGUUGGCACAUUAGUUUCAUGUUGCAUAAUACUUCAAUACAAGUGCUGGGAGGAGGGCACAGAGAGCCUUUGUUGGAGUUUCCUGGGAGAAGGAGGAGCUAUCAGAUUGAAGGCAAGGGGAAGUUUCCUGAUUUGGACACAUAAAACUGUUCCUUGGGGUGGUAUAGGAUCCAGGGGAGAAGAAGUAGGUGCUUCAUAAUGGAACAGAGGUUGGUAAACAUCAGCAUCAGAAAUGCAUUCGCGGUGAUGCGAUAUCAGAGGGCGCAAAGGUGAAAUUCACAAGAGCAGCAACCAGUGUUUCUGAAGUGAGAAGCCAAGUACCAGACAUUUGCUGGCAGCCACCCUAGGAGAGGAUCUCGUCCUUGAUCAGAUAGGGAGGUGGGGGGAUCUGCCAAGGCUCUGUACCUGACUGUCACCUUUGAAGCCACGCUCCCACAGAGAGAGAGGCUGUGGUCGGCUCAGUGCUGGGGUUUGUGGUGGGAGAGAAAGGGCAGUGGCCCCGGCAGCCAGCCCCGCCACAGUCUCGUAGCCAGAGACUAAUGUAAAUCAGAUCCUGUCUCGCGUCUACCCAGACUCUGUGAGGGUUCUCCGGGGCUCAGAGAGUUCCAGAGCACUCAGAACUCCAGGCUCUGGACCAAGUCAUCCAGCAACAUCACAGAGCCCCUGCAUCCCUCUGCUUGCUCUGCCACGGCCUCCAUCCUGUUCCUCAGGUAUACCAAGCGCUUCCUGGAUCUUUUCAUGGGCUGGGACCACGUGUUCCCCACCCUCGCGCCCCCAGAUUUUCCCACAGCUGCCCAAACAUCAUCUGUUAGAGCAAUAGCUAGGGUUACCCCAUCUCCUACCCCUGCACUGUGACUCGUAUCAUAUGGUGCACGCUGAUUUAUUUUUGACAUGCAUUUGUCAUAUUUAAUUUCUUUCUUCACUUAUUGAUUGCCCUUCUUCUCCAUCUUCCAAGCAAUGGGUGGAGUGAACUUAGCGAGAGAGCGGCUGUAUCCUGUUCAUUGCUGGUGAGAGCCGCUGGCAUCAAAAACCGUGCUUAGAACUGAGUUGAUUCUCAGUAAAUACUUUUUAUGAAUGAGUGAAUGAAUGAAUGAUGAGGAGCUCUAGCAGCCACCUCCUCUCUAGCCCAGGUCUCGGAGGGAGAAGAAUGGAUUUGCUGCUUCCAAAUGUUGAGUGGCAAAAAAAAAAAAAAAAAAANNNNNNNNNNNUUUUGUUUUGUUUUUUAUGGACUAUGCCAUAGCCACAGCCAUGCCAGAUCCUCUUAACCCACUGAGCAAGGCCAGGGAUCAAACCUGCCUCCUCAUGGAUACAAGUCGAAUUCUUAACCCACUGAGCCACAGUGGGAACUCCCCUCCUUUCGGCUUUUGACCUUUUGACGCUUGGUGACUUGAGGGUUUUGGAGGUUGACAUGGCCAACAACCUAAAGAACCACCUCAGAUGGCAUCUGAGGUUCCCACACUGUGAUCACCACAACAGGCCAGCGGUCGGAGGAGGCAUGUUCCUAACUGGAGCUGCAGAUGCAUUGGUUAUGCAAAUUUAUGGUUUUUCUUGCUCCACAUGGCAAACAUUUCUGGUUAAGUCGAAACCAAAGAAACCCAGUGAGGGAGACUCCUCUGUACAGCUCCCCCAGCCCCGGCGCUCAUCUUACAACUGCAGACCAGUGUUUCCUCUGCUUUCCUCAUCUUUGGGGUGCAUACUAAGCUGAGGGGGAGGGAUUCUCUCUAUAUUUGGGAAAUCCAGGUCCGAUGCGUAUCUGCAGCUCCAGGUCAGUCUCAGCCUUGUUCCCAGACAAACAGGACAUGGAUGGAUGAGUGUGAUUGGACCUGGGCGAAACAUUCCCAGUGGACACAAACUGGGGUGUGGGAGAAGCUCUGGCCUCCCACCCACGGGGCCUCCAAUGGCUCAGGCCAGGAUGGAGACAGGCCUAGAACUUCGGGAGCUGGAGGCAGUGGUGGGCAUCUCAUGACAUCAUCUCUGGGGUGAGCAGGGCUCUGGGGAAGGAAUAAACCUGUCCAGUUUUUGCACGGGGCUGCCCAUCCACCAACGAAAGGAGACAGAUGGGGGUAGAUUUUCUGCAGCCUUGUCUGAGGACACAGGGGCACGUACUGGAAAACCCAGAGGUGGGCAGUGUGUCACCGAGUGGCGAUUAGCAGCAUCAGCAAAUUCCUGCUUCUGCUCCACACCACCCAAGCCUCGUCACUUUCGCUCUUUUGUCUCCUUCAACUUUGUACAAUUUUCAUUUAGGAUUCAGGGCAUAUUUUAAACCACCCUGUGACACAGGGCUUUGGUUUAGGGUGGCAGUGGCGGCAGGGGGGGAACCCUUACGUUGUCAUCUUUAAUAAUUCACAUGGCAGCUUCACAGGGCUACUCUUAACUGCUUCUUCAAAGUAAUUAAUUGAUUUUCUGACAUAUCAGUUAGCAGUGUCUUCUGCUGACACACAGUUGUGUUGAGGCUCUUGAUUGGGCUGGAGAACUGCACGGAGUUUAGCUUUGGAGACUGAAAAUAUGCCUCUAUAAAAGGAAAACCUCUUGACAUGGAGCGUUGUCUAAAAAUCUAAACCAUAUGUCCUUUCCGGGCCUGUCAAUAGGGUGAAAUAUAGGUUCCAGUGUGUGUAGCUGCACAGAUGUCGAAUAUUCAAGAGGCAUGAGAUAACCUACUGUUACUCAAUACAGUUCACAUUCUGGAUGAACACUGGCCCAGGCCCUGCCAAGGGAAUUGUCUCUCGGUUGGUGUGUAACAGGAGGAAUGCCAUCAAAACACGGUUUGCUCAGGACUCUUGGAAGAAGGCGGACUCGCUCUGUGGGUGAAGGGGUGGUCUGUCUCCUGGCGGGCUGGCUAUUUACUUAUUUAUAUUUUGCUUUUGAGUGCCACACCCGAGGCAUAUGGAAUUUCCCAGGCUAGGGUUCGAAUCAGAGCUGUAGCUGCCAGCCGAUGCCACAGACACACCACCACCAGAUCCAAGCUGCAUCUGCAACCUACACCACAGCUCACUGGGCAAUGCUGGAUCCUCAGCCCACUGAGUGAGGCCAGGGACUGAACCUGCAUCCUCAUGGAUACUAGUUGGGUUCGUUUCUGCUGAGCUACAGUGGAACUCCCCAGGCUGGCUCUUUUUGUGCAGGGUUUACAGGAUCCUGGCUCGGCUGCCUGCAAUGGAGGGGUUCCCCACAGGGCGGGGUUCCUGUCGCCCCCACACACGUUACUAACAUGGGCUUUGGGACACAGACUAGUUACGUGGCUUGCUCUGGGUCACAGUGAGUCAGUGACGUGCUGGAAACACGGACUUCCAGCAUCUUGGCCUCUGUAGGGCUUCGUGCAACAAACUUCUGCAGUGAGGACGGAAGAAUAUUCAAGUGUUAGACCUGACAGGAAGUCACGGAGUGUAUUUAAACGCCGACUGUGCCUGUGAUAUAAAACUCCUUAGGGUAAACUUUCAGGGAACCAGGGUCUCUUCCCCAAUCCUGCGGCUGCUGCCACGUGGAGGGGCCCCCAUCCUGGCCUCUGUCUUCCCCUCACUGGGUGGGUUGGUGAGUCUGGGAGAAGCAAGCAGUGUCUCUGGGAGCUUGGGCCCUCCCUUUCUCCUCUGGGGGCUGCAAGAGGCACACACUCUGCUCUGCGUCUCUGUGUGGUGGCUUUUGCAUCUGGUUCACGAUGCCUGAGACAGAGAGUGAGUCUGCCGAAUUUUGAGUGCAGUGUUGGGAUGCCUGUUGUUGCUGCAUGUCUAAGCUUCAUCCUGCCAUCUGGCUUUGAGCAGUAGUAGGGCUGGCCUUUGCACCUACAUAUGUCUCACUCCUUUUUGUCUGUCACUUAGUUGAUUCAGAAUUCAGGAAGGCUGCCAUUUAUAGGAUGUGUUUCCGAUUUGUAGCAUCCAGAGAGAUCUGAGGGUAAUUUCAAGACACAUGGUAAUAGGAGAACAAGCCCAUUUGAGCUUGGUCAACAGAGAGCUGAAUUUGGCCUCCUGGCUGUGUUACUUCUCUGGAGCUGGUCAAUGAUUACGGAAUGGAGGCAAUUCCUCCUUUUUAGCUCUGUUAUGAGAAUCUGAUGAAACAUCCUGUAAGACAAAUCCUAGACUAUGCCUAGCCUAUCUCUUGCCCAGUUAAUGGGAAUUGAAGUAUUUUUUUUAACUGAAAAAUCACCAGAAGAGGGACACAUACAAGUAUUUUAAAACCUUAAAACAUUUCCUUAUCAUGCUAUUUUACUUUCCACUAAUUUGAGAACAGCUUAAGUUCUGACAAAGUCUGAUUAGAAGGAAAAUUUAAUGGAAGAAUGAAAGACCACAUGGAUAUUUUAAAAAGGGGGUGGUGGCGGUAAGAAACACCUCACAGAUGAAGUUUAGUUUAUCACUGGUCUG
ensembl:lncRNA